rnacentral:rRNA from 1 species
UACGGAGGGGGCUAGCGUUGUUCGGAAUUACUGGGCGUAAAGCGCACGUAGGCGGCUUUGUAAGUUAGAGGUGAAAGCCCAGGGCUCAACCCUGGAAUUGCCUUUAAGACUGCAUCGCUAGAAUUGUGGAGAGGUGAGUGGAAUUCCGAGUGUAGAGGUGAAAUUCGUAGAUAUUCGGAAGAACACCAGUGGCGAAGGCGACUCACUGGACACAUAUUGACGCUGAGGUGCGAAAGCGUGGGGAGCAAACAGGAUUAGAUACCCCCGUAGUCC